AGGGGCUUAGGAUAANCUAGACCAAGGGCCUUCAAAGCCCUCAGCGGAGGUGAAAAUCCUCCAGCCCCUG
rnacentral:tRNA from 2 species